GAUGAACGCUGGCGGCGUGCCUAAUACAUGCAAGUCGAGCGAACGGACGAGAAGCUUGCUUCUCUGAUGUUAGCGGCGGACGGGUGAGUAACACGUGGAUAACCUACCUAUAAGACUGGGAUAACUUCGGGAAACCGGAGCUAAUACCGGAUGAUAUUUUGAACCGCAUGGUUCAAAAGUGAAAGACGGUCUUGCUGUCACUUAUAGAUGGAUCCGCGCUGCAUUAGCUAGUUGGUAAGGUAACGGCUUACCAAGGCAACGAUGCAUAGCCGACCUGAGAGGGUGAUCGGCCACACUGGAACUGAGACACGGUCCAGACUCCUACGGGAGGCAGAAGUAGGGAAUCUUCCGCAAUGGGCGAAAGCCUGACGGAGCAACGCCGCGUGAGUGAUGAAGGUCUUCGGAUCGUAAAACUCUGUUAUUAGGGAAGAACAUAUGUGUAAGUAACUGUGCACAUCUUGACGGUACCUAAUCAGAAAGCAACGGCUAACUACGUG
rnacentral:rRNA from 1 species